GGAUUAACGAGCGCUUGUUAUUGGAGUUUGAGUAGAGAAUCUGUGAACGUUCGUCAUUUCCGGAGGGAGAUGAGCGUUUGGAAGAAGCAUUGAAUGAAGAGAGCCUGGUUGAUGUUGAAGUGAAGAUCGAGCAGUGAGAUCGCUCGGCCAGUAUUGUAUUUAGUUGAAUUGAGUGGUCGUUCGACCAUCUCUUGUUUUCUUUUGAGUUAAUUCGACCGUUCAGUAAUUAUCCUGUGUAAACCGUUCGGUCAGGUUUCUUGUACGUUUAUCUUAAAUUUGUAAAACUCUUAUGUGUGGCGUGCGACUUUUGCACAUUCGUCCGUUAUGUUGGAUUUGUACUCAAGGACGUUCGUCCUUGAGCGUUCGUUCGGGUUUUAUUUUGUUUUUAGUUGGAAAACUGUAUUGAAAUAUUAUUAAAUGUGAUUUUCUGAUUUUAUGGUGUUA